rnacentral:lncRNA from 1 species
UUACCCUCUCCCCUUUAUCUACCUCGAACCAAACCGGCCCUAAAGAGACAAAUUCAACACUUUGAACUACCUAGGAGAUAUUUGCUAAGUGUUCUAAAGGGGCAAAUACAACACAUUGAUCAACUUUUAAUUGCUAAAAAUUUCUAAUUGUUUUUAAUAUUGCAUGUGCUUUAUACACUAUAAAUUGAUGAAAUCAAAUCAUAUUCUAUUUUGUUACAUGUGAAGAGAAAAAAAUAUGGCUAAAACUCUCAAGUUUUUGUCCACUAUGAUUUUAUUUCUUUU